GACGAACGCUGGCGGCGUGCUUAACACAUGCAAGUCGAACGAAGUGGCGAACGGGUGAGUAAUACGUGGGUAACCUGCCCUCCUUUUUGGGAUAAGCCUUGGAAACGGGGUCUAAUACCGAAUAAAGGGGGAUGGGCUCGCGGCCUAUCAGCUUGUUGGUGGGGUGAUGGCCUACCAAGGCGGUGACGGGUAGCCGGCCUGAGAGGGUGACCGGCGACUUUAGGAGUGAGGUAAGGCCCAGACUCAUACGAGAGGAAGCAGUGGAGGAUAUUGCACAAAGGGCGAAAGCCUGGUGCAGCGACGCCGAGUGGGGGAUGAAGGGUUUCGGGUUGUAAACCUCUUUCGAUAUCGAAAGGGUAGGGGGGGAAGAAGAGCCGGAUAACUACGUGCCAGCAGCCGCGGUAAUAC
rnacentral:rRNA from 1 species